AAAAUAAAAUUUGUGCGAGCAUUUUUUUUACGAUUUAAAUAAAUCAAUUUUAUAUCGAAAUUAGAGCAGAUUUGCUAGAAAUAUUUCACUAUAUGUUUCCAAAGAAUGCACAGUGAUAUAUGUGGAAUACAAUUACAAAUUCUUAACUUUUAAUCAAAUUUUUAAAAAUAUAAAAAAAUGUGUGUGUAUGUGUGUGGUUUACCUCUCUACGUCGCUGUAUAUUUCAUACAAAAGAAUAAAUGCCGUGUAAAGUCAUUGGAAUUCAUGCAGAAUUGUUCAGAACGAAGUUCCGGUCUCAGCAGAAAGAGAGAGAGAGAGAGAGAGAGAGAGAGGAGAAACACAUGUAUAUUUCGAGAUAAUAGUGAGAGAAAUACGGCAUGACGUCACCAAUUCGUGAUAACGUUCUAUGCGGCACCGACAUAAUUACGCUGUAAUCUUCCGCGGUUAAUCCCCACGGUUGCACAUUGUGGAUUUGGCGCGGCGGCGGUUUGAUUAAACAAUUUAUAAACCAUUAUAAGCGGACGGCGACAAAACGGCGAAUUUCAUUUUCAUUUAGGAUCACUAAAGCGUUUAUUUGCCUUCCAGUUCGGAAACCCGACUGAAAACGAAUGUUUUGUCGCAAUUGAAUUACCAACUCUCGAUUCGCCUCGCGCGACAAAUACAUUGCGUAAAUAAUUUAUACGAAUUAAUCGCGCCUUCAUUCAUCGUGAGACACGUGCGCGCGAAAUAGGAUCUCGAAUAUUGGAAGUUGCGUCAUCGCCCCAUCGUUCGUGAGAAAUGGUCAAACAACUAACGGAAGCGUCAAAGCGUAAUCAGAAAAAUGUUUUGAUACGAUUGCCACGUGACGAACAGCAGAGCUAUACCUACGUAAAAAAAAAAAUGACAAGAUAUGGCCAAACAAAGAAUACUUUAAAAAAUUGUAUAUAUAUGUUUUAAAUGAUACUGUCGUAAAACUCAAACAGUAAAACUAAUUGAAGACAAAAUUUUACUGAUCUUUUAAAUUUCCUAACAUUUGACUCAAUUUUUUUGAUGAGUCUAUUUUUUUGCUAGCAUUUUAACAACAGAUGUUACGUGCGUUUUAAGAGAUACUAAUAAUGCACAAAAAUUUGCGUUUUAAUAAAAUUAAAACUAAAAAUAAUUAAAAAAUAAAAAAAAAUGAUAAGAUGAGAGAGGAUCGACUCCAAAUCAUUUGCCAAAGAAUAUUUCUUUGCUUUGAACGCAACUGUUUUUAAAAGGCACUUGCCGCGGUUAGUUCUCGCGUUAAUCCCGGCCAAUUAAAGCUCUCUUGGUAAACCAAUUAAUUGUGUAGACAGAACUUUACUACGCUUCAUAAAACGAAAUGACGUGAUACCGUUCGGCAGAGUCACCAUUGCCGCACCGAUGCGCAGCAAAGCGCGUAUCGAGCUAAUAACGUUAUCGCUUCACCGCGGGAUUGUUCGACGAUAAGCUACGCUCUCGCCGAAUUAAAUUUCGCCAACUGAUUAAACAGGACGAGGAAAAAAAAAUAAAUUGAUUUAAACUCGGCAAAGUUGCGAUCGGUGAGUCGAUUUUGGAACAAUAUUCUUGGAAAACAAGUUCAAUCAAAAGGGAAGGUAUCGUUAUAAAAAGGUUCCCUGUUUGAAGUAUACUCUAACGCAAUCGAAAGAUUUGGUGCGACUCAUUUGUUCAAGAAAACUCUCAAAAGAUUAAUUGUUUUUAUCGUUAAAAAUAACUUUCUCAAGCGCUUAAAAAGAUCAAGACUGUUGUUGCGUCAAAUGCUUUAAUUAUAUUUGGAAUGUAUCGUUACAUUUCGAAUUUUGUGCCACGAAUCUUGAACUCGGAGUGCUGACUAGAUAAAUUGCAGACUCAACAUCUGGAAAGUCAAUUAAAAGACGUCAUGUUGUCGCUCAUAUGACGAUCAAUGUGAUAAGCGACGAAGAACGAUCAUAAAAUCUAAUAGUUUGCGAAAUGGACGACCAACAUCGAAUCGCGCAAGUUAAUAUUAUUAAUAACUUCUGUAUAAAGUUAUCAAUACUGUAUCCGUUUAUAUCAUAACGUUCCUGUCUCCGUCGUCGAGACGUCAUUACAUGUCACGUGUAAAAGAUACGCCAAAGAGGAUUUUUGCUGUUGGAGGAAGGCAUCCGUCUUCGCAGUACUGUAAUCUUGACUCAACAUUCGCAAUUUCGACAUCUCCUGCGCGAUUUGCUUCGAAUACGAAAACAUCGGAGUGAGUUCAAAAUAUCUAAUGCUAUUUAUUCCGGGCCGACUAACGGUACAAACAUCGACGAGGUAAAUACCGGCGAAAAACAGUAUAGGAUUCGCCGUUCGAGGCGGAUCGCGCGAAUCCCGCCUCGAUUCGUAUAUGAUUCACUUGCGCGUGAUUUGUUUACCGUGGCAAUUCCAUUUGGUGGAAACGCGAUGCUCGCGACGCUAUUAUCUGAGACACCGAGUCUGCCACGAGCUGUCACGAUUGUCAGCUCGUAAGAGACGCGUCUCGACACCGCUUGUUGCCCACGUCAUUUAUCACGAGAAGCUAUCCCGACUAAAUCUUGGCACGCUCGUCGUAGUAGAGAGCGAAAGAGCGUUCAUUCAUGAAAAGCUCCACUCGAGAGCGUUUCUACAGACCGCAACUGACUGAUAUCCAUCGAUGUUUAGGGAAGUCGUCCGAAGAGAAAACUGUUAUACUCUCUGAUUUGCAUCUCUUGUUUAUGCAAAUCACUCGGACGAGGAGUGGAUUAAGAAAGAUCGAGAGCAUCUCAAGUAUAUAAAAUUGAAUCAUCAAAGAGUAUUGUUUUAAAUACACAAAGUUAUGAUACGAAAUUGAUUAUCUCGAAAAAUAAACAGCUUAGAUCACUUUUAAGUUAGAAAAGAUGAUACAUUCUCUUUAUAUUUUGUAUUCGGCAAAAUAAAUAUAAGAUACGAUAAAGAUGUUUCAUUAAAUACUUAGAGAACGCGUACAAAACUCGUGAUCGCUGCAUAUCGUCUACCUGUUUGCUCCUGUUCCAAAACGACUGAAUGGCUUGUUGACAUGUCGAGGAAAGAGAUCCAUAGGUUCUGCUAGACCUUUGCGGCCGCGACAGUGGCAAGGACGGCAAGGAUGCAUUUCGCCAGUAUCUUCAUCAUAUCAGUGGAAUCAUCUUUAGAUAUCGUAUGUGACGGCAUUAUUAACCGUUGGAGAAGUCUCAUUCCGAAGUUGGUAAAAGUUUUCGAAACGUGCUUUGUUUAUUCCGUUAUUCGGAUGACGCGGAGAAUGAGUAAUCGACAACUCGAGAAUUGCGCGCCGACUAUAAGUACGAACAGCUGAUCGCUAAAUGCAUCAGCUGUCCCAGACUAAACAAAUGUCGAUGAACAAUGUAGUGUUGCAAAUGUGUAUUUACAACGAGAAUAAAUAGUGAUACGAGGAGACGGCACGGUGUAAAUGUUUGCCAGCAUAUUUAUGAGACAAUGAAAAUCUGCCCGAAUAAAGAAGAAGAGAAAGAAGGUAUAGAAGAAGAUUAAUUAAAUUACAGCGUUAUAAGAUAGCAAACUUUUUGUAAUCUUUGUAAAGCAAACUAUUAAAAUUAAAAAUUAUUAAUUAGUUUUAUUUUAGUUAUAAAGUUUUGAUGAAAAAUACAAGCAAUUUUUAAAUUAAGAGAUAGGCAGGCGCGUGAGCCUUUUCUGUUUGAGAAAAAUGUGAUAAUUAAAAUAAUCAAAGAUAUUACUUGCCACAAUAUUAUCUUUUACACACGAAACGGCGUAAUAAUACCGGCUGCUGUACUUCAAGUAAUAGUACAUAUUGAGGAAGUCUCGAUUGAUAACAACAGUAUCAACAAUCCUGUGCAAUGAAAAAUGUACGAUUCAAUAAGCUCGACCUAUUUUCCUCUCUUUAACAACGGGAAUAUACGAGGAAAGAUACAUGCGAAAUGUUGUUUCUCUCGCGUCGGUAAAAUUUAUUUCACUUUCCCUCAAAUAUCCGCAGAAUUUCCAACAAGACAAAGGGAAUUUAAACUCGCUCGCAGCUCGAAAUAGAGCACGUGAUAUCAGCCCGGUGCGUUUCGCGAUUUGUAACUAUUUGAAAUAAAAUGAUCAGUUCCGAAA